UACGUAGGGGGCAAGCGUUGUCCGGAAUUAUUGGGCGUAAAGGGCUCGUAGGCGGCCAACUAAGUCGGAUGUGAAAUCCCCAGGCUUAACCUGGGAACUGCAUCCGAUACUGGAUGGCUUGAAUCCGGGAGAGGGAUGCAGAAUUCCAGGUGUAGCGGUGAAAUGCGUAGAUAUCUGGAGGAAUACCGGUGGCGAAGGCGGCAUCCUGGACCGGCAUUGACGCUGAUGAGCGAAAGCUAGGGGAGCAAACGGG
rnacentral:rRNA from 1 species